rnacentral:tRNA from 1 species
AGGGAAUAGUUUAUUAAAAUUUUAAUUUUGGAGAUUAAAGAUAAGGUAAUAGAUCCUUUUCUCUGA